GGCCCCUUGGUCAAGCGGUUUAAGAUACGGCCCUUUCACGGCUGUGACAUGGGUUCGAAUCCCAUAGGGGUCACCA
rnacentral:tRNA from 1 species